rnacentral:rRNA from 1 species
UACGUAGGGUGCAAGCGUUGUCCGGAAUUAUUGGGCGUAAAGAGCUCGUAGGCGGUCUGUCGCGUCUGCUGUGAAAACUCAGGGCUUAACCCCUGAGCUUUGCAGUGGGGUACGGGCAGACUAGAGUGCGGUAGGGGGAGACUGGAAUUCCUGGUGUAGCGGUGAAAUGCGCAGAUAUCAGGAGGAACACCCGGUGGCGAAGGCGGGGUCUCUGGGGCCCGUAAACUGACGCUGAGGGAGCGAAAAGCCAUGGGGGAGCGAAACAGGG